CCUACGGGUGGCAGCAGUGAGGAAUAUUGGUCAAUGGGCGGAAGCCUGAACCAGCCAAGUAGCGUGCAGGAUGACGGCCCUACGGGUUGUCAACUGCUUUUAUACGGGAAUAACGCGCCUUACGUGUAGGGCUUUGCAUGUACCGUAUGAAUAAGGACCGGCUAAUUCCGUGCCAGCAGCCGCGGUCAUACGGAAGGUCCGGUCGUUAUCCGGAUUUAUUGGUUUUAAAGGGAGCGUAGGCCGCAUGUCAAGCGUGCUGUGAAAUGUCCGGGCUCAACCCGGGCCUUGCAGCGCGAACUGGCGUGCUUGAGUCCGCGGAAAGCAGGCGGAAGUCGUGGUGUAGCGGUGAAAUGCGUAGAUAUGACGAAGAACCCCGAUUGCGAAGGCAGCUUGCUGCAGCGGAACUGACGCUGAUGCUCGAAAGCGCGGGUAUCGAACAGGAUUAGAUACCCCAGUAGUC
rnacentral:rRNA from 1 species